AUACUAGCUAUGGCAGUACAUAUUCUAAAAUUGGAACAAUAGAGAGAAGUUUAGCAUGACUCCUGUGCAAAGAUAACAUGCAAAUUCGUGAAGCAUUCCAUAUUUUU
rfam:Octopus bimaculoides Scaffold16524_contig_2, whole genome shotgun sequence.